GACGAACGCUGGCGGCGUGCUUAACACAUGCAAGUCGAACGAUGAACCGGAGCUUGCUCUGGGGAUUAGUGGCGAACGGGUGAGUAACACGUGGGCAACCUGCCCCAGACACCGGGAUAACCAUUCGAAAGGAUGGCUAAUACCGGAUACGACCACUUCGGGCAUCCGAUGGUGGUGGAAAGGAUUCUGGUCUGGGAUGGGCCCGCGGCCUAUCAGCUUGUUGGUGGGGUAAUGGCCUACCAAGGCGACGACGGGUAGCCGGCCUGAGAGGGCGACCGGCCACACUGGGACUGAGACACGGCGCAGACUCCUACGGGAGGCAGGAGUGGGGAAUAUUGCGCAAUGGGCGAAAGCCUGACGCAGCGACGCCGCGUGAGGGACGAAGGUCUUCGGAUUGUAAACCUCUUUCAGCAGGGAUGAAGCGAAAGUGACAGUACCUGCAGAAGAAGCACCGGCUAACUACGUGCCAGCAGCCGCGGUAAUAC
rnacentral:rRNA from 1 species